rnacentral:rRNA from 1 species
UACAGAGGUGGCAAGCGUUGUUCGGAAUUACUGGGCGUAAAGGGCGCGUAGGCGCCUUCUAAGUCAGACGUGAAAUCCCUCGGCUCAACCGGGGAACUGCGUCUGAGACUGGAAGGCUUGAAUCCGGGAGAGGGAUGUGGAAUUCCAGGUGUAGCGGUGAAAUGCGUAGAUAUCUGGAGGAACACCGGUGGCGAAGGCGGCAUCCUGGACCGGUAUUGACGCUGAGGCGCGAAAGCCAGGGGAGCAAACGGG